rnacentral:rRNA from 1 species
UACGUAGGGGGGCGAGCGUUUGUCCGAAGUUACUGGGCGUAAAGCGCGCGUAGGCGGGUUCUUAAGUGAGGGGGUGAAAGGUUCGGGCUCAACCCGAACACUGCCUUUCAUACUGGGGGACCUUGAGUAUGGGAGAGGCGAGUGGAAUGGUCGGUGUAGCGGUGAAAUGCGUAGAUAUCGAUCGGAACACCCAUGGCGAAGGCAGCUCGCUGGCCUAAAACUGACGCUGAGGCGCGAAAGCGUGGGGAGCAAACAGG